rnacentral:rRNA from 1 species
GAUGAACGCUGGCGGCGUGCCUAAUACAUGCAAGUCGAGCGAACGUACGAGAAGCUUGCUUCUCUGAUGUUAGCGGCGGACGGGUGAGUAACACGUGGAUAACCUACCUAUAAGACUGGGAUAACUUCUGGAAACCGGAGCUAAUACCGCAUAAUCUCUUGAACCGCAUGGUUCAAAAGUGAAAGACGUUCUUGCUGUCACUUAUAGAUUGAUCCUCGCUGCAUUAGCUAGUUGGUAAGGUAACGGCUUACCAAGGCAACGAUGCAUAGCCGACCUGAGAGGGUGAUCGGCCACACUGGAACUGAGACACGGUCCAGACUCCUACGGGAGGCAGCAGUAGGGAAUCUUCCGAAAGGGGGGAAAGCCUGACGGAGCAAAGCCGCGUGAGUGAUGAAGGUCUUCGGAUGGUAAAACUCUGUUAGUAGGGAAGAACAUAUGUGUAAGUAACAGUGCACAUAUUGACGGUACCUAAUCAGAAAGCCACGGCUAACUACGUG